GAAUUCUGUUCAUAGCUACUGGCAUUUGACGGGUUUUCAUUUUAUUUUUAUCAACAAUAACAUCAUAUAAAGAACUAGUUCAGACCAAAGAAAUCAGAUUAGGAGCAUCAGACAACUAAAUAUUAACUUUAAAAUGCACCAUAACAAUUAUGUCACCAUAUAAACACAUGUAGAACUAGUUCAAUUAUUACCCAUUAUAUACGUGAAAGUGAGAAAUGAACCUCAGGACAUGAAUCUGAGCUUAGUUGAUUUGCAUCUCCAAAAUCGGAUAGGGAUGUGACCAAGAACAACGGAACUUCGGCUUCGAAACUUGCCGGAAAUCUAUGAACCUCGAAGAAUCUCAACUCUUCAGCAAUACCUGAAGCAGAUGACUGUUGUCAUCAGAAUUUCUCCCUCUAUUUCUGCCCGUUUAGAGUGUGUGUGCGUGGUUGUUGGUUCUCUUGUGUUCUAAGUCUAAGCAAAUGGACAGCUAGUGUAGGCGAGAGAUGAGAGGGAAAUGAGCGACGACUAUAAAGGUGCAAGCUGAAAACGACCGCUAUGUGUGUGAGCGUUUUUUCAGGGGGGAAAAAACGAUGGGGUCUGUACUGUUGUGUUGCGGCUGCUUCGAGAUUCCCAUUUUUCGGUGUAUCCCCCUU
rnacentral:lncRNA from 1 species